CAGUUUCUCCCUCCCUCCCUGCCUGGGAGCCGGAUGGUGGCGGAGGGAACGAGCGAAAGACUAUGGGAAGUUAAUGUAUGGACGCUGGAAGAUGACACACGGAAGCCACCCUAAGGUCUUGUGAAGAAACAUGUGCUACAACUACAGAGGGUUAUUUUACUUUGUGUCUUCCCCCAGGUCCAGAGGGGAGUGAGCAGCCGUACUGCUAUGGCUAGAUGCCGAAAGCCCACGCGGUCUUGGAAGCCAGCAUUGAAGUCAGCAAACCCCCUCCCGCCCCCAUCAACAUGGGUCUCAGAAGGUCUGUGCAGAGCAGAGCCCUGCAUCUCCCACCCAAGAGCAUCCACAGAAGAUUAAUAUGAGAAAACUGAGACAGCAGGUGGUAUAUAACUCCCCUAAGGUUCUGCUGCUAGUAAUUCACAGAAGUAGAAUUGAACCAAGGCAGUUGGGAUCCAGAAUCUACUAUUAUGCUCAUCUCAUUAUAAAUGUGUAUGUGUAAAAUAUGUAUAUAAUGUAUGUGCUUAUUGUCUAUAUUUCCCAUUGGGUGUAAGCUCCACAAGGACAGGACAUUGUUUUGUUUACUGUUCCCCAGGCUUAGGACAAUGUCUGGUACAUAUUAGCUUUUCAAUAAAAAUGUAUUGAAUGAAUGAA